rnacentral:rRNA from 1 species
UACGUAGGUGGCAAGCGUUGUCCGGAAUUAUUGGGCGUAAAGCGCGCGCAGGCGGUCCUUUAAGUCUGAUGUGAAAGCCCACGGCUCAACCGUGGAGGGUCAUCGGAAACUGGAGGACUUGAGUGCAGAAGAGGAAAGUGGAAUUCCAUGUGUAGCGGUGAAAUGCGUAGAGAUGUGGAGGAACACCAGUGGCGAAGGCGACUUUCUGGUCUGUAACUGACGCUGAGGCGCGAAAGCGUGGGGAGCAAACAGG